CAAAACCAGGCAUUCUGUGCAGGUGGAUGGAUGGCAGUUGGUGUUUUUACUAUGUAGCAAACUCAAAAAGGUUUCUCUGCUGAAGGUUUUGUUCCUAACUGGUGGCUCUCUUUUAGGAGGCGUGGAAGCUUUAUGGCAUAGGACCUAAUGGAGGGAAGCUGAUCUCCAGGGGCCUCAGAAGGGUAUGUGUUGUCCCUAGCCCUUCCUCUGUCUCUCUGUGCAUCCUGCCUGCCACGAGGAACUAUUAUAUCAACCACUCCUUUGGGUCGUGUCUACAUCAUCUGUGGGACAUGUGACAGGAUGGUGCACCCACAUCUGCUCCUGGAAGGUCAGGCACAACAAAAAGGUCGAAACAAAAAAGUUAAAGGUUGGGUGGAAAGGGGAUGUGCCCUCCACAGCUGUCAAAACCACGCACAGGUGCACGUAAGGAGCGUGCUCUUGAGGUCCUCGGGUCAGGCGACAAAGCCACUAUGAGUGGGAUAGGGGGCUGCGACAGCUGUGACCCUUGGGGCCUCACUUGUGCAUUCCUUUGGAAAAGCAAAGCUCAGACUUGAGGCCGGCACAGCAUGGAAAGAGGGACUGACUCACGACCCCUUGUUAGAGAACCCCCUCCCCUACCCAGAGCGGCCCCUCUGGAAGGUUGCACUGGCCUCCCCAUACCCUGGUAGGCCAUUUUCAAAUGCUGCCAUGCUGGCUUGAUUCUACUCCAUAAACAUAGGUGUCUGUGGUGCUGGGGAGUGACCCGACCCGUGGCCUUCUUCACGCGAGACAAUUCCUCUCGCACCCCAGCAAACAUCCAUUUUUAUGGAACCAUCUAAAGACGACGGUUUUCGACCACACACCUCAGCAUCUUCAGCUCCUCCCGAUGCCUUCCCUAGAACAAUGCUCUCCAGCUCACGCCUGACCACAGUACCCAUGAUUCCAUUGGCUUCCGGCCUAGGCUCCUCCUAUCCCCCCCUCCCUCCAACACUCGUUUCAUAGGUUUGGGUGGUUCGAUGGUUUCGGUCGUUUUCUUUGGAUCCUCUAGUGUCCUUCAUCGUUCGUAAAUGUGGGGGUUCCCUGCAACUGCCCCGGCUGGGAGUUUGUUCUUCUGCAUGGUGCACCUCCUAAGGCUGUGCUUUGUAGAUCAGUCCACACCUUGGGUUUGCUGGGCCAUUUCAUCUGUCACUCAGCUCCCACUCUGUCCCGGUGAGUCACAUGACCUGAAAAGCCGCACUGACACAUCAUUACCGCAGGAGUCGAGGUCUUUUCCUUUGAAUACAGAAUUACUUAUGUAAAUGUGUUUGUUUUUAAUUGGUUCAUAAUAAUUAUACAGAUUUAUAAGAUCAGGAGUAAUAUUUUAAUAUGUGCAUAUAUUAGGGUGUUUUUUUAUUCAUUCUUUUUUUUAAAAAUGUUUUAUUUGAAUCUCAUUUUGGAAAACUUUGACUCCAGUUUUGGUCUGAAUGUAAAAUGACUCCUCUGCGCAGGCCCACGUGUGUGAGCUUGUGCUCCGCAGUUGGUAGCGCUAUUUGGGGAUGUCGGGUAGCUUUUAAGAGGUAGGACUUGGCAUGGCUAGCCUGGGUCCCUUGGAGUGGGCUGGGUUCUGCCAGGGACUGGAUCCGAUCUAGUUCUCUUUGCUUCCUGACCCAGCCACCAUGCGAGCAGCCCUUUUAUACACUCUUCCUCCCUCCUCUCUGCCUUCCACCGGAGGUGACUAGAACCCUCGGAAUUGUGAACCAGCGAUGAUUUACAAGUCAUUUAAAGUCAUACUUCCUGUAAGUUGCCUAGGCUUUGUGUCAGUAUAGAAAGCUGUUCCCUACAUAUUUACCGCUAGUUAACCAUCUUUAGAAACACGAGUAAAGCUGACAACGUCUUUGCC